CACCCAGGCUCCGAAGUCCCCCAGGAGCUCCCUGGGGCUAGGGCUGUUGUGUGGAUUGUUCUUGAACAAAGGCAGCUGGCAGAGGGUGCCCAGGGGAAGCUGGAACUGGCCCCUCAGCCAGGUUGCCACUGCGUCUGCCUAGAGAAAGGCCAUCCCUUUCUGUUCCCCUGGAGUGCCAUGUGGACCAGCAGCAUCCCGAGCGUCUCUCUCAUGAUGCCUUUCCCUUCCCCAGUUUUGCCUUCCCAGAUCUCUGCCUUUCCCCAGAAGGAAGAGGAGAAAAAUGACCAAGUUCCAGGUCCAGCCUGCUUUAGUCGUUUGGUACUGAUCGCCACCUGAGCUUCGUGAGUCUGUGUGCAAACCCCAUUCGUCUGCUCACUUUAAAUCCGUUUCUGAUACUGAGGCUUAACCAGGGAUGGAUCCACACUCAGGGUGAGUGCUGGGGCUUUAGGAUCUGGGUCUUUGGUUCUGGCUGCCUGUUCUGCUGCCCGAUCAGCCAGAUUAUUUCCUUUAGCUAUGUAGCUGUCAGUCUUUGGGUGGCCCCGGCAAUGUACUACGGCCACUUUUUCCAGCAUCAGAACAGAUUCUAAUAGGGCCAGUAUCCCCUCUGCGUGUUUGAUGUCUUUUCUUCUUAGAGUUAGCAGCACUCUCUCUUUCCAUAUGGCCCCAUGUGCGUGCACGAUGGAGGAGGCAUCCUGAGCAUCGUAUAAAUGGUUACCUUCCUCUUAGCUCCAGGGUGCACGGCUCUCAAGAGGGCUGAUCUCUGCCUUCUGGCAGACGGACCUGGAGGGAGGGCUUCUGCUUCUGGGUUUUCCUGAGGAGUCACCACUGCGUACUCAGCAUCCUGGAGUCCACGGUCCAUGAAGAUGCUCCAUCAGUGAACAUUUCCGUAUCCGGAUUUUCCAAAGGCUGGGCAGUCAGGUCGGGGCUGCUGGAAUAAACCUCUUCAAUUAUUUGCA
rnacentral:lncRNA from 1 species